rnacentral:rRNA from 1 species
CCUACGGGAGGCAGCAGUGGGGAAUAUUGGACAAUGGGGGGAACCCUGAUCCAGCGACGCCGCGUGAGUGAAGAAGUAUUUCGGUAUGUAAAGCUCUAUCAGCAGGGAAGAAAAUGACGGUACCUGACUAAGAAGCCCCGGCUAACUACGUGCCAGCAGCCGCGGUAAUACGUAGGGGGCAAGCGUUAUCCGGAUUUACUGGGUGUAAAGGGAGCGUAGACGGUGCAGCAAGUCUGAUGUGAAAGGCCGGGGCCCAACCCCGGGACUGCAUUGGAAACUGUUGAACUGGAGUACAGGAGAGGUAAGCGGAAUUCCUAGUGUAGCGGUGAAAUGCGUAGAUAUUAGGAGGAACACCAGUGGCGAAGGCGGCUUACUGGACUGUAACUGACGUUGAGGCUCGAAAGCGUGGGGAGCAAACAGGAUUAGAUACCCCAGUAGUC